GUAAACACUGUUAUCAGUUUGUGAAAUUUAUAAUCUAUUGUAUGUGUUUUAUCUUAUUAAUAUUCCACAGUAUGCUUUUCGCUUGCUAUAAUUAUCCAUGCAGAGCCUUCAUUUUUAAAUGUUUCACUCAAUAAAAUGGACCAGCAAAAAAAUAUGAAGGGAGCAGAUCACCUGAAGAGUAAUGCAUGUUCAAAUGAUAAACAUAUCGAAGACAACACCUCUGUUUUGUUAGAAGUCAAGUUUGCAGAGGUAUACUCUUUCCAUCUUUCUGAAGAGGUUUUUUAAUAUUUUUACUAUUAAAAUGUUCAGUUUAAUACUCCCUUUGGAACAAAUAUAAGAUUAUUGACUUCUUGAAGUCAAUUUGAGACAUUUUUUUCAUACUCAGGUAAAUUUAUUUAAUUUUAGUCAGUACAAUGAUGAAUAUUGUAAACUAGUUUAAAAGGUACUACUAAUUAUAAGAUUUGUAUUUUCAUAAAUUUUAAUGAAUCUUAUCAUUUGAGUUUAAAAAUAUCUUAAAUUGAUUUUUAAAAGUCAAUAAUAAUUAUAAUUGGAAGGAGUAUUUAUCGAUGUGUGGUUAGUAACGUAUGGACUACUGAGCUCCUAUAUUCUUCAUGGCUGUUAUUUAGUCCUAAAAAAUCUAAUGGCAUAAAAGGGUGAAUUUGCCUUGAACUUUUGAAAAACUGAUAAUAUAUAUUUUUGGCAAGUAUUGAAGAAUUGGUAAUUUGUUAUCUCAGAAUGUUGAUUGUGUUGAAGUCCCUUGUUACUUUAUUAGUCCUCUUUCAUGCAUGAUGUUCCCAAUUCCAAUUUGUUCAUUAUAUAGUACAUAGGGGACUAAACCCUCUUUUAGUCCCAGGAAAACAAACUCUUUAAUUGUAGGCCUAAAAAUAAUAAUUAUGUCAAAAUUUAACUAAUCUGUAUUCACAUGUGGACCACUUCAAAAUCUGCUUGAGCCAACUAAAAUUUUCUUUAUUCCCAGGCAUUAGUGAGAGAACAUGGUAUGCCUACUUAUGAUAUUGUGAUUGCCUAUUUGUCUUUUUCUGCUUAUGAGCAAUACGGUGUACAUUAUAGCAACUCUAUUGUCUUUGUGUAUUGAUUUUGGCACUAAGUGCCUCUGGUGACCUAUUUGCUUUAUUUUUUUGACUUGCUAUUAUUUUUAAAUAUGUGCAGAAAGACUGCUUCUACGACAUGCCUUACAAUAUUGGGUAUCAAAUUUUCGUGCUACGUUUACAGAAGACAAGGGACGAAAUUAUGAAGUGUAAUCUCUCUAUAUAUGUAGAUAUAUACUUUAAUUGAAGAACUGUGGUAGCUUUAGAUGGUUAAUUGUAAAGAUAAUGAACGAUUAUGUAGUGGAAUAUUUUAUUAAGUUAAUAAUAUUUU
rnacentral:lncRNA from 1 species